UUGAAGUGUGCAGAGGAAGAAGAAGAGCAUACAGCUCUCACUGAAAGGUCAAAGUCCGCCGCGCCUGAGGGAGGAAGCUACUAAAAAGACCAUAGUGUAUGUUUGUGCUCGGAAGGCAACCAGAAAACAGUCUCCAUCAACAGACCACAGAGACAGGGGAGGAGGGGCUCAGUGGGGAGGAGAAGCAGUACUCUGGACACAUCUUCUCAGCUGAAGACCAACCACACCCAUAGACAUGGUAAUCCUAAUUCUUCCGGAGCCAUCAGCCGCCUGAUAUUGGAAUACCUCGUGGACCAAAGCUCACUGUGAACCAAUUAACUGCCAGUCAUUUAAAAACAAAUUUGCAAAGCUGCAUGACCUGAUCCUGAGUCUUUUGUUCAGCAGUUGGUCUUACAGCAAAGCCGCUACAGAUCCACUGGGAAUUAGAGUGUAAGCAGAGACUGGAUGCUGAUGUACAGACCUGGAAAUAUGUUUCUGCGGAGACAGUGACCCAGGCUGUGGUAGCUGUGGGGGUAUGAAAAGGCCGAUCCGGGAUCAACAUAGUGAGGCAGCGACAGGGACAGCACCUGAGGGAUUUCUACUGCCUAAAGCACAACAUGUUCAGAGGAAA